UGCUACCCUCUAAGGAGUGUCUAAUGAGUGCGAGUACGAUACCAGCCGUGUCCCCAUUUCCCCUAGGAUCUCUCUCUCUCUCUCUCUCUCUCUCUCUCUCUCUCUCUCCAUAUUGUAUUUCACUGAAUCUCCAUUCACAAGCCAACGUCAAUCCUUGCAAAUUGAUUCUAACCUUACAUUUUCAGGUAUGCAAAAGCUCAAGCUUUAUCCCAAUUGUAUACGAUUCUGGCCUCACUUAUCUGUACAGCUUUUCUGUGGGCGUCAAAACUUAUUAAUUUGAUCAUCUUUUGUAAACAUUGUUAUGGCUUGUUAGUGUGAAUUUCGAGAAUUGGGGUUUUUUUUUUCAUGUGCCUGUGCCUGUGCUUUUGGAGUUAUGUCAAUAGGCAUGUAAUUCUGUCUCCUAUUUACAUAACUGUAAACCUUUUGGUUAAGCCAGAGGCUAACAUUGCUUUGGCUAUUGUUGAAUCCUUUAUUUUGUGUUUGUGCAUAAGAAACCGUUUUUGAUAUUUUCAAACCUUGUGGUGCAUCAGUAGGUAAUACUUCCUGUAUGCCAAUGCCAUUGCACUUGCUAGAUUAGAGUUUCCAAUCUAGUGCUGGUCUCUUCAAUUCUUUUUGAUAAAUUAGUCGAAGAGAUUAGAUUUUGGUGAUGUGCUUCUUCAAGGAGACCAAUCCACAGCCUAGAAGCACACCUUAUGGCAGGCAAUUGUAGAUUUUACUGAUGGACAAGCCAGUAUACACAGGUAAAAUGCAGUGGGCUUAUCUUGGCGGAGCCAUGUUGGUACAAUUGACCGCAGUGAUUUGGCAGCAUUUUCUGCAGUACACACAAGGCCUGUUAAACAAAACUAUGAGAGAAUAAUCCAGUGUGAUAAGCGUCUCAAUCUUGUUAGCCGGCAGCCUGAUUUGGUUCUUGAUUCACCAUAUUUUGACGUUCAAGCCUCUGCCAAAGGAUCUCCCACCUCCAGCUUCGAUGACAUGGAAUCAACUCCAGCAGCAAGAUUGGACAGAAUUCUGCUGGUUUAGUGCCAGAGCAUUUGUUGCCACAAGCUCCUUCUCCUAGCUCAGUGAUGGAUUUGCGUGCAAUAGACGGGAAUGAAAGUCGUGGAGGAAACGGUCUUCAGGCGCAACAGUCUAUGUCCAUGAGCAAUCUUGUGAAUCACAUUGGACACAAAAUUCCAAAAUGAAAGAGUUCCGGAAACACAUCUGGAUUUAAGGAAACAAUAGAAUGUCAGGACACGCAGGAGAACAUUGCUCAAAUCCUUCUGGGUUGAUACACAGUGUCCAACAGCAUCUGAUGAGAAGAAACUCAUGUCGAGAGUCAACUCCCUGUGCUGCCUCCUUCAGGACCCCACUGCGGGCCCCAGUAUGAAGUUUGGCGCUGAAACUCAACUUGAAGGAGUUGAUUAUGGAAUGAAGAUUCAAGGGAACCAUGUUACUGAGUCAAUAGGGGAUCUUCAACCAAGGACUGGGUAUGUCAAGGAAGGAUUCCAUUGGCGAUUUUCUGCUUAAUAUACCCCGGAUAUCAUUGCUGCCAAAGUUCUUGUUCAAUAUAUUGGAAGAUGGCGAAAACUAAGCUGACAGUGGAUUUUAUUACUCCUUAAGUCCCAUUUUGUUUGUCUAUUUUUCAAAAUCAUACUCUUAAUCACAUCAACAAAUAAUGUAUUUCAGAGAAUAAUUUCUGAAAAUGCACAGACAAAAUGUGACGGAAGUAGUAUUUAACAAUUCAAUAUGCAGAGAGAAUUGAGCUAUUGAGAUUCUGAGUCUCUUGUUUGUCACCCAGUAUUUGGACAUGGAGGAGUUUCUGGGGUUCGGAGAACAUGUUUUGAUGAAGAAUCCUGUUAAAACUGCCUGUACAAGGAUCGGUGUUCUAGAUCCAUUCUACUGACAAGUUGUAUUGAUUGUUUUUAACAUCAAUGGUAUUAUUAUUAUCACUUGA